rnacentral:rRNA from 1 species
GACGAACGCUGGCGGCGUGCUUAACACAUGCAAGUCGAACGGAAAGGCCCUGCUUGCAGGGUACUCGAGUGGCGAACGGGUGAAUAACACGUGGGUGAUCUGCCCUGCACUUCGGGAUAAGCCUGGGAAACUGGGACUAAUACCGGACAGGAGCCAUUUUUAGUGUGAUGGUUGGAAAGUUGUUUCGGUUUAGUAUGAGCUUGCGGCCUAUCAGCUUGGUGGUGGGGUAAUGGCCUACCAAGGCGGAGGCGGGUAGCCGGACUGGGUGGGUGGACGGCCACAGUGAGACUGGGACAGGGCCCAGACCCCGACGGGAGGGAGAGGUGGGGGAGAUUGAAAAAUGGGCGCAAGCGAGAUGCAGAGACACCGCGGGGGGGAUGAUGGCCAACGGGUUGUGAUCGCAUAGCGCUAGGACCGGAGAUGUUUGUGACGGUACCUAGAGAAGAAGCUCCGGCUAACUCCGUG